UGGGGAAUUUUGCACAAUGGGGGAAACCCUGAUGCAGCGACGCCGCGUGAUUUAGAAGGCCUUCGGGUUGUAAAAAUCUUUUCUAUGGGAAGAAAAUGACAGUACCAUAGGAAUAAGGACCGGCUAAUUACGUGCCAGCAGCCGCGGUAAUACGUAAGGGCCGAGCGUUGUCCGGAAUCAUUGGGCGUAAAGGGUACGUAGGCGGGUAAGCAAGUUAGAAGUGAAAUCCUAUAGCUCAACUAUAGUAAGCUUUUAAAACUGCUCAUCUUGAGGUAUGGAAGGGAAAGUGGAAUUCCUAGUGUAGCGGUGAAAUGCGCAGAUAUUAGGAGGAAUACCGGUGGCGAAGGCGACUUUCUGGCCAUAACCUGACGCUGAGGUACGAAAGCGUGGGUAGCAAACAGG
rnacentral:rRNA from 1 species